UCCUCCGCGCGUGCCAAUGUCACCUUUCACUGAUGCCGGAAAUGUUCAGCACACUCUGCAGAAAUAUGGAGUUGCCGGAGAAGACGUUCGUUUGGUUACAGUGGCAGAGAAAAUGUAGCCAGCGUUAAUUGUAACAGCUCGCCCUGCUAAAAAGGCAAGGAAAAGAAAGCCUGAGGCAGAAAAGGCUAGACGAUAAAGGCUCUGGAUAAAGAAAGAAGUCAGACCUGACUCAACAUCGGUGUGGCCUUUGAGUGGUGGAGACAACUGGGGCAUGUGAAGGACCUGAAAAGUGAUGCAGAGGUUGCUCUCUUUCUGUUGGACAGGUCGCACCUCGUGUUUGAUCUCCCGUUGAAGUCCUCCGUGACCAAAGAGAACACGUGUGCCUUCAUCUGGAGUGAUCUGCAGACUCGCUACAGUCCGCCAUACAUCAUCAUGAGCGUCAGCCAGGAUCGUCGGAGAGACGCUCCCGUCCUGGUCGUAAAGAUGAAGAUGCUUCUGACCUUUGACCUCAUCUCAAUAAUUGCCUUCUGUAAAGAAACACUGCGCUGACUUGUAUGGUAUGAAACAGAAAAGGAAUUCCGAGUAUUUUGGCUGCAGUAGUGUCAGCAUCAACACAGUUUAACAAAACAUAUUGGUCAGCAUUAAAUAUGUAUUGUGUGUGUCAACUAGAUUGUCAACUUAGAUUUUCCUACGUUGUGGCAAAAAGGAGGACUUACCUUCUUAAAUUUAAAUGAUCGUUUUGAAAUUUACAUUGCUAAAAUUAAAGUUCUGUGCAUUUAAUUUAAAGUUAAAGAUACCAUAAUGCCCAAAAUGCUUAAAAACACGUCAGUCAUACUUGAAAAAAUGAAAACCAAUGUUGAAGUCUUUAUACUAUCUGUCACUGCAGAGUAUAUGUAAUAACUUCUGCGUUACUUGCAAGUACUUUAUCAUGCUUUACUGGUAUAAACGGUGCUUCAUGCAACAUUUCUUGCCAUUCCUGGAUCAGAAAUACAGAAAUACUCACGAUUCAAUGCCUCAGAUAGGCUGAAUAGUCUAUCGCUAAAGGGAAAAAUACACCUUCUGCUGGGGAGUUACGUUACAAGUUCAUCACCGCUUCCAUCUCUGUCUGGGAUUAAACGACGUGACAUAUAAUAACGUGUCAUAUAGGGAGCUUUAGGGGUGCUGGAAGUCAGAUUUUUAUUGCCUUCGGACAUAGACGCGCUGGCUGUGUCCACCUGUUUACAGCUUUUGUUCUAAGCUGAGCCAACCAGCUGCUGACUGUAGUAAUUCUGUCUCGUGAAUUCAAACUGUGUCUUCAAAGCUAGACCCAAAUGUCUGAGCCUCGUUUUCUUCCCAGAGGAUCUAGCCUGUGAAAAACCAGGGCUUUAUGUUGAAGGAGUCUUGUUUUCAUGAUCGUUCCACUCAGACGUGAAGGAGGAACCUUUUUGCAGCUCAUUAUGUGCUGCGCUGUUAUUUUGUGCAAGACCUCUGGAAAAAGGUCUUUCCCCCGGCUGAAGGUUUCACAACCUCACAUUUCAGGACAGUCCUACGGGAGCCCUGUUUUUCCACAUUCUCACUUUAUCCCAGUGGUGGUUUGUAGAGUCAAUAAGCAUGUUAUGACAAGGCAGAGUCGUAAAACUGACCAUAACAUGUUGUAAAUUAGCCAAGUUAACUGUGCAGCAGGGAGGAAUCUUAAAUGAAUAUCAUCACCUACUUUUCAAUCCAGUCCCACAGUUGAAUAUUGAAUCUGGUUAUUCUUCUUUAUUUACCACUUUUUGUUAAUAAGCAAUAAAAGGCAAACAUUUA